AUGGGGAAGAGAAGAAGAAGAUACACUGGGUUACAUGGUGGAAGAUGUUUGUACCAAAGAAGAGGGAGGGGCGGCUUGGGGUUCAAGGACCUUCAUAGUUUUAAUCUUGCUAUGUUAGCAAAACAGUGUUGGCGACUACUCCAAAAUCUGUAAUCUCUUUGUGCACGAGUGUUGAGUGCAAAACAUUACCCUAUUGGUGACAUCCUAAAAGUUGGUCCAGCCAGGUCACAGUCAACCGCUCGCCCCGAAAAAGGGGAUCUCGUACACAGGCGAAAGGAGGCGACACAGCUUCCCUAUGCGAGCCGACGGCGCUGCCUCUGGUUCCCUUUCCCUCUAUCGGCCGCUCCGGUGGCGGGAGGGAGGGGGACCUCGGAUUUGUGCGUGGGGUGGGUUCGUAGUAGGGUUAGGGUUGUGGGAGACGUUGCUGAGACCGUUGCGGUGGCGCUGCGGUUGAAUAAGUUUCCUUGGGCUCUGUUUGCGGUCUGA
rnacentral:rRNA from 1 species